AAGAAGUAGCACUUACCUACUAUGAUUCAGGGAAUACUGCAAGUUUACGGAGAAGCGAAAUAGAGAUGAAACACCAUCUCCUGACUGGAACAUUACAGAUAAGAGCCAGAAAAAUAUUUGCAGCCGUAACCUGCUAUGAAGUUGAAUACUGUGAAGACACCAUGAUGACCUGCACAGACAACAUUUAGCCUGUGACUUUAAAGGACCUCUUCUGAUCACCAUGAGUUUUCAAAGAAGUUGACCAAUGUCUCUGCAAUCACAGUGCCCCGCAACUUUGGAGAAGUUCAGUCCAUAUCUAGGUCUGGGAUCUAAACUUCACGAUUGAAGCCUUUCUAUCAAAGUAACAAGGUUGAAUGAAAAUGAUGGAUCCAAACACCUCCAGCCUUCAGGGAAAUCUGGACUCGGAUCUUAACUUCAGAGCUUGUGCAGGUUUCCAGCUGUAACUGUUUUAUAUUAUUUUCUUUUUAGAUUAUUUUCUUUUCUCUUUUCUGUAUAACUGCUGCGCGGCACUAUCACAUUUAUGUAACCUUGAAGCCUUCACUGUUAACCAAAGCAAGUGCCUGGUACUAUUCUCUAUUGGCAGUAAGCCACACACCUGUAUUCUGUAACUUUUACUUCUUAUCUAAAAAGUGUUAAUUUUUCAGAAAUGAAACUUAU
rnacentral:lncRNA from 1 species